GACGAACGCUGGCGGCGUGCCUAAUACAUGCAAGUAGAACGCUGAAGGAGGAGCUUGCUCUUCUGGAUGAGUUGCGAACGGGUGAGUAACGCGUAGGUAACCUGCCUGGUAGCGGGGGAUAACUAUUGGAAACGAUAGCUAAUACCGCAUAACAGUAGAUGUUGCAUGACAUUUACUUAAAAGGUGCAAUUGCAUCACUACCAGAUGGACCUGCGUUGUAUUAGCUAGUUGGUGGGGUAACGGCUCACCAAGGCGACGAUACAUAGCCGACCUGAGAGGGUGAUCGGCCACACUGGGACUGAGACACGGCCCAGACUCCUACGGGAGGCGGCAGUAGGGAAUCUUCGGCAAUGGACGGAAGUCUGACCGAGCAACGCCGCGUGAGUGAAGAAGGUUUUCGGAUCGUAAAGCUCUGUUGUAAGAGAAGAACGAGUGUGAGAGUGGAAAGUUCACACUGUGACGGUAUCUUACCAGAAAGGGACGGCUAACUACGUG
rnacentral:rRNA from 1 species